rnacentral:rRNA from 1 species
ACGUAGGGUGCGAGCGUUGUCCGGAAUUAUUGGGCGUAAAGGGCUCGUAGGCGGUUUGUCGCGUCGGGAGUGAAAACCAGGUGCUUAACACCUGGCUUGCUUUCGAUACGGGCAGACUAGAGGUAUUCAGGGGAGAACGGAAUUCCUGGUGUAGCGGUGAAAUGCGUAGAUAUCAGGAGGAACACCGGUGGCGAAGGCGCUCAUCUGGCCCAAUACUGACGCUGAGGCGCGAAAGCUAGGGGAGCAAACGGGA